rnacentral:lncRNA from 1 species
UCCCCGUGUGUCACCAUCACCCCGUGUCACCCGGGGGGGGGCCCCCCGUGGGCCUCGUGUCACCCCGUGUGUCCCCGUGUCACCAUCACCCCGUGUCACCCCGGGGGGGGCCCCCCGUGUCCGUGUCCCCCCCCCACUGUCCCUCUGUGUCACAUCCCCGUGGCCGUUGUCCCCACGUUGUCCCCGGGGCCACCUCGCUCCACGUCACCCUCCCGCGCCGUGUCCCCGUGUCACGGCCUCGUGUCACAUCCCCGUGUCACGGCCUCGUGUCACGUCCUGGUGCCAUCACGUCCCUGUGUCACGGCCUCGUGUCACAUCCCCGUGUCACAUCUGGGUGCCAUCUUGUCCUCGUGUCACGUCCCAGUGCCAUCUUGUCCCCGUGUCACGUCCUGGUGCCAUCCCCGUGCCAUAUCCCCGUGUCACAUCUUGGUGGCAUCUCUGUCACGUCCUCGUGCCACGUCCUGGUGCCAUCACAUCCCCGUGUCACAUCCUCAUGUCAUCCCCGUGUCACAUCCGAGUGCCAUCUUGUCCCCGUAUCACAUCCCCAUGUCACGUCCUCGUGCCAUCACAUCCCUGUGUCACGUCCUCGUGUCACGUCCUUGUGUCAUGUCCUGGUGCCAUCUUGUCCCUGUGGCACAUCCCCGUGUCACAUCUUGGUGGCAUCUCUGUCACAUCUCCGUGUCACGUCCUGGUGUCACCUCGUCCCCGUGUCACGUCCUCGUGUCACAUUCUGGUGCCAUCUUGUCCCCGUGUCAUGUCCUCGUGUCAUGUCCUGGUGCCAUCACAUCCCCGUGUCAUGUUCUCGUGUCACAUCCCCGUGUCACAUCUUGGUGGCAUCUCUGUCACGUCCUCGUGUCACGUCCUGGUGCCAUCUUGUCCCCGUGUCACGUCCUGGUGCCAUCACAUCCCCGUCUCACGUCCUCGUGCCACAUCCUGGUGCCAUCAUAUCCCCGUGUCACAUCCGGGUGCCAUCCUGUCCUCGUGCCAUGUCCUGGUGCCAUCUUGUCCGCGUGUCACGUCCUCGUGUCACAUCCCCAUGUCACGUCCAGGUGCCAUCUUGUCCUCGUGCCACAUCCUGGUGCCAUCUCCACGUCCCCGUGUCACAUCUGGGUGCCAUCUUGUCCUCGUGCCACGUCCUGGUGCCAUCUCAUCCCCAUGUCACGUCCUCAUGUCGUGUCUUGGUGCCAUCACAUCCCCGUGUCACGUCCUCGUGCCACAUCCCAGUGCCAUCUCAUCCCCAUGUCACGUCCUCAUGUCGUGUCUUGGUGCCAUCACAUCCCCGUGUCACGUCCUCGUGCCACAUCCCAGUGCCAUCUCAUCCCCAUGUCACGUCCCCGUGUCACGUCCCCAAGCCGUGACCCCGUGUCACUUCCCCCUGCCAUGUCCUCGUGCCGUGUCCUCGUGCCACGUCCUCGUGUCACGUCCUCGUGUCACGUCCCCACGUGUCACGUCCUGGUGCCACCUCCUCGUGUCACAUCUUCGUGUCACGUCCUCGUGGAAGGGGGGGUUGGGGACACGAGGGAGGGGACACACGAGGACACACGAGGACACACUGGGACAGACUGGGAUCCAGGAGGACACGAGGGGACGGGUUCCACCAGGACGUGUUGGGACACACUGGGAUGUACUGGGACGCACUGGGGACACACACGGAUGCCCCGGACAUGCCGUGACACGCUUAGGACACGCCAAGGCCCACGGUGACACGUGGGGACACACCGGGAUGCCCCGGGACACGCCAAGGUGACAAAGCUGUGACACGUGGGGACGCAGCAGGACACGGGUGUCCACGUGGUGGCCAUGGUGUCACGGGUGGGUGUCACGGCCACCACGGGUGUCACAGGUGGGGGUCACGGCCACCGGGGUGUCACUUGUAGGUGCCACGGCCACCAGGGGUGUCACAGAUGGGUGUCACAGCCACCACGGGGGGUUCCACAGCCACCAGGGUGUCACUUGUAGGUGCCAUGGCCACCAUGGGUGUCACUUGUAGGUGCCAUGGCCACCAGAGUGUCACUUGUAGGUGCCACGGCCACCAUGAAUGCAUGUCAUGGCCACCAGAGUGUCACAGUUGGGUGUCAUGGCCACCACGGUGUCACUUGUAGGUGCCACGGCCACCACAGAUGUCACAGUUGGGUGUCAUGGCCACCAGUGUCACUGAGGGGGGUCAAAGCCACCACAGAGGGGGUGUCACGGCCACCAGAGUGUCACAGUUGGGUGUCACGGCCACCAGAGUGUCACUUGUAGGAGCCAUGGCCACGAGGGUGGCACAGGUGGGUGCCACGGCCACCAGAGUGUCACUUGUAGGUGCCACGGCCACCACAGAUGGGUGUCAUGGCCACCAGAGUGUCACAGUUGGGUGCCACGGCCACCAGGCUGCCACAGUUGGGUGCCACGGCCACCACGGGGGGGUUCCAUGGCCACCAGAGUGUCACUUGUAGGAGCCACAGCCACCACGAGUGGGUGCCACGGCCACCAGAGUGUCACUUGUAGGAGCCAUGGCCACCAGGGGUGUCACAGAUGGGUGUCAUGGCCACCAGGGGUGUCACUUGUAGGUGUCACGGCCACCAUGAGUAGGUGCCAUGGCCACCACAGCGUCACUUGUAGGAGCCAUGGCCACCAGAGUGUCACUGAGAGGGGUCAUGGCCACCACAGUUGGGUGCCACAGCCACCAGAGUGUCACAGUUGGGUGUCACGGCCACCAGAGUGUCACUGAGAGGGGUCACGGCCACCACAGCGUCUCUCGUAGG